rnacentral:miRNA from 1 species
UGGUGUGGAGCUGUAGAAUAUG